UUUAUGGAGAGUUUGAUCCUGGCUCAGGAUGAACGCUGGCGGCGUGCCUAAUACAUGCAAGUCGAGCGAACAGACGAGGAGCUUGCUCCUUCGACGUUAGCGGCGGACGGGUGAGUAACACGUAGGUAACCUACCUAUAAGACUGGGAUAACUUCGGGAAACCGGAGCUAAUACCGGAUAAUAUUUCGAACCGCAUGGUUCGAUAGUGAAAGA
rnacentral:rRNA from 1 species